rnacentral:rRNA from 1 species
UACGAAGGGGGCUAGCGUUGCUCGGAAUCACUGGGCGUAAAGGGUGCGUAGGCGGGUCUUUAAGUCAGGGGGGAAAUCCUGGAGCCCAACUCCAGAACUGCCUUUGAUACUGAAGAUCUUGAGUUCGGGAGAGGUGAGUGGAACUGCGAGUGUAGAGGUGAAAUUCGUAGAUAUUCGCAAGAACACCAGUGGCGAAGGCGGCUCACUGGCCCGAUACUGACGCUGAGGCACGAAAGCGUGGGGAGCAAACAGG